GUCCACGCCUAACGAUGUCAACUGGUUGUUGGAAUUCACUUUCUCAGUAACGAAGCUAACGCGUGAAGUUACCGCCUGGGAGUACGGUCGCAAGACUAAACUCAAAUGAAUUGACGGGCCCGCACAAGCGGUGGAGCAUGUGGUUUAAUUCGAUGCAACGCGAAGAACCUUACCUGGUCUUGACAUAGUAAGAACUUUCCAGAGAUGGAUUGGUGCCUUCGGGAACUUACAUACAGGUGCUGCAUGGCUGUCGU
rnacentral:rRNA from 1 species